ACGGGGUGCAGCAGGCGCGAAAACUCCGCAAUGCACGAAAGUGUGACGGGGCUACCCCGAGUGCCGUCCGCUGAGGAUGGCUUUUCCUCGGUGUAACUAGCCGGGGGAAUAAGGAGAGGGCAAGACUGGUGUCAGCCGCCGCGGUAAUACCAGCUCUCCGAGUGGUAGGGAUGAUUAUUGGGCUUAAAGCGUCCGUAGCCGGCUUAGCAAGUCUCCUGUUAAAUUCAGCGACCUAAUCGUUGAGCCGCGGGAGAUACUACUAGGCUAGGAGGCGGGAGAGGCCGACGGUACUUCCGGGGUAGGGGUGAAAUCCUAUAAUCCCGGGCGGACCACCAGUGGCGAAGGCUGUCGGCUAGAACGCGCUCGACGGUGAGGGACGAAAGCUGGGGGAGCGAACCGGAUUAGAUACCUGGGUAGUCCCAGCCGUAAACGAUGCGGGCUAGGUGUUGGGGUGGCUACGUGCCACUUCAGUGCCGCAGGGAAGCCAUUAAGCCCGCCGCCUGGGAGUACGCCGCAAGGC
rnacentral:rRNA from 1 species